GUGAGGAAUUUUGCGCAAUGGCCGCAAGGCUGACGCAGCAACGCCGCGUGGGUGAUGAAGGCCUUCGGGUCGUAAAGCCCUGUCAGGUGGGAAGAAAGGCUUGGAGAAGCAACGCUUUGAGUUUGACGGUACCACCAGAGGAAGCACCGGCUAACUCCGUGCCAGCAGCCGCGGUAAUACGGAGGGUGCGAGCGUUAUUCGGAAUUACUGGGCGUAAAGCGCGUGUAGGCGUGGGGACAAGUCUGAUGUUAAAGCCCUGGGCUUAACCUGGGAAGUGGAUUGGAAACUGGUUUUCUUGAGUACUGGAGAGGAAGGGGGAAUUCCCGGUGUAGAGGUGAAAUUCGUAGAGAUCGGGAGGAAUACCAGUGGCGUAGGCGCCCUUCUGGACGGUAACUGACGCUGAGACGCGAAAGCGUGGGGAGCAAACAGGAUUAGAUACCCCAGUAGUCC
rnacentral:rRNA from 1 species